UCUGUUUCCGUGGAAUAUCUUUUCUCACCUCUUCACUUUCAGUCUGUUUUUUCUUACAAGUAAAGUGAGUCUCUUAUAGGCAGCAUAUAGUUCAGUCUUGUUUAUUAUCGAUUCACCCAUUCAACCACUGGCUUGAAAUGUUUUGUGCCAUUGUCUCUGUAAUAAGAAAAGAAAGAGGUUACUGAUUUCUCUACAUUCGUCUAGUCCUUACAACUCUGAGCCUUCUAACUGCUUUCCAAAACAAAUAAAGAAACUGGAGCAGAAAAUCAGUCACAUUAAAUUUACCACCAUUCAAAAAGCCAAGACAUCAACCAUAGUCUUGGAUUCAUCUUUAACUGUUGGGUAAUACGGCACUGUCUGAACAUACUGUUACAAUAUAUUCCAUGGAUGUUGGAUCCACUGAUGAACAUUUGAGUUGUUUCCAAGCUUUUGUUAAGUGAAAAUUAGUGAUACAACAUUUCCGAACCUGUGUUUGAUUGUAUAAGUGCAAGAGACUCUCCUAGACAUUCCUAGAAAUAAAUUUUCUGUGUCAUAAAACAUGAGAAUAAUCAACUUAAAAAAUAAUGCCAAACUGUUUCAGUGAUAGAUAACUAACUCUCCAAUUGGUAAUAUAUAAGAGAUUCUACAGAUUUCCACUACGUCUAACACUUGGUAUUGUAAAAUCUUAAUGUUGCCAAUGUAACAAGAAUUAGACAGAAAAUUACAGUGGUUUUGAUGUUGAUGUCACUGAUUACAAUGAAGUUAUUAAUAAAUAUCUUUUUU
rnacentral:lncRNA from 1 species